GAGCGCACGCACGCCACGGCCGCCGCUUUCACACGGCCCCCCGAGGAAUUGCGGGGGUGGGGGCGUGAGCAAGGAGUCGAGCGGUAGACACGUUUCUUUCUCUCCCGGGAGCUGGGAAGAAGGCCAGCCCCGUGUGCCACACGCCAGGCUUUUGCGCUGCAGCUUGCUGGUGAGCAGGGCCGCGCACGAUUCGGGUCGUGUCAACAUUUCUUCCCUUGCUGACCUGGCUGGGGACACGGCGGCUGCAGCAAAGGCGCUUGAGGACCGGAGCGGAAGCCCUGAAGUGCUUGGCCGGAUUGACUGCCCAACUCCCACUUUCCUUUUUCCUGGAUUUGAUGGGUUCAGUAACACCUGGGGCGUCUCGUCUCGACCCUCCUCCAAUCCAGACAGAUUCCUGUCUGGGCUUCAGCGAUCCAGGUGAAAAUCCAGACUUGCAUCAUUUCCUGGCUGGUGGCUUGGAGGCCCAGGCAUUCACAGAGCAUCGCGUGCCCCAGAGGCCUGAGCUUGACAGGCAACUUUAGGCGUCUCCAAACACACUCUUCAAUUUUACCCAAAUGCCACUCGGCCCAGCAACGGGUUUUCUUUACUCUGCACUCCUCUGAUGUAAAAUUAAAGCACCUCACCCCCCCCCAAAUCUGGGGACGCUCUCUCCAA